rnacentral:rRNA from 1 species
UACGAAGGGGGCUAGCGUUGCUCGGAAUCACUGGGCGUAAAGGGUGCGUAGGCGGGUUCUUAAGUCAGAGGUGAAAUCCUGGAGCUCAACUCCAGAACUGCCUUUGAUACUGAGAGUCUUGAGUUCGGGAGAGGUGAGUGGAACUGCGAGUGUAGAGGUGAAAUUCGUAGAUAUUCGCAAGAACACCAGUGGCGAAGGCG